rnacentral:rRNA from 1 species
UUGAACGCUGGCGGCAGGCCUAACACAUGCAAGUCGAACGGUAACAGGAAACAGCUUGCUGUUUCGCUGACGAGUGGCGGACGGGUGAGUAAUGUCUGGGAAACUGCCUGAUGGAGGGGGAUAACUACUGGAAACGGUAGCUAAUACCGCAUAACGUCGCAAGACCAAAGAGGGGGACCUUCGGGCCUCUUGCCAUCGGAUGUGCCCAGAUGGGAUUAGCUUGUUGGUGGGGUAACGGCUCACCAAGGCGACGAUCCCUAGCUGGUCUGAGAGGAUGACCAGCCACACUGGAACUGAGACACGGUCCAGACUCCUACGGGAGGCAGCAGUGGGGAAUAUUGCACAAUGGGCGCAAGCCUGAUGCAGCCAUGCCGCGUGUAUGAAGAAGGCCUUCGGGUUGUAAAGUACUUUCAGCGGGGAGGAAGGGAGUAAAGUUAAUACCUUUGCUCAUUGACGUUACCCGCAGAAGAAGCACCGGCUAACUCCGUGCCAGCAGCCGCGGUAAUACGGAGGGUGCAAGCGUUAAUCGGAAUUACUGGGCGUAAAGCGCACGCAGGCGGUUUGUUAAGUCAGAUGUGAAAUCCCCGGGCUCAACCUGGGAACUGCAUCUGAUACUGGCAAGCUUGAGUCUCGUAGAGGGGGGUAGAAUUCCAGGUGUAGCGGUGAAAUGCGUAGAGAUCUGGAGGAAUACCGGUGGCGAAGGCGGCCCCCUGGACGAAGACUGACGCUCAGGUGCGAAAGCGUGGGGAGCAAACAGGAUUAGAUACCCUGGUAGUCCACGCCGUAAACGAUGUCGACUUGGAGGUUGUGCCCUUGAGGCGUGGCUUCCGGAGCUAACGCGUUAAGUCGACCGCCUGGGGAGUACGGCCGCAAGGUUAAAACUCAAAUGAAUUGACGGGGGCCCGCACAAGCGGUGGAGCAUGUGGUUUAAUUCGAUGCAACGCGAAGAACCUUACCUGGUCUUGACAUCCACGGAAGUUUUCAGAGAUGAGAAUGUGCCUUCGGGAACCGUGAGACAGGUGCUGCAUGGCUGUCGUCAGCUCGUGUUGUGAAAUGUUGGGUUAAGUCCCGCAACGAGCGCAACCCUUAUCCUUUGUUGCCAGCGGUCCGGCCGGGAACUCAAAGGAGACUGCCAGUGAUAAACUGGAGGAAGGUGGGGAUGACGUCAAGUCAUCAUGGCCCUUACGACCAGGGCUACACACGUGCUACAAUGGCGCAUACAAAGAGAAGCGACCUCGCGAGAGCAAGCGGACCUCAUAAAGUGCGUCGUAGUCCGGAUUGGAGUCUGCAACUCGACUCCAUGAAGUCGGAAUCGCUAGUAAUCGUGGAUCAGAAUGCCGCGGUGAAUACGUUCCCGGGCCUUGUACACACCGCCCGUCACACCAUGGGAGUGGGUUGCAAAAGAAGUAGGUAGCUUAACCUUCGGGAGGGCGCUUACCACUUUGUGAUUCAUGACUGGGGUG